rnacentral:rRNA from 1 species
UCUCAGUUCGGAUUGGAGUCUGCAACCCGACUCCAUGAAGCUGGAUUCGCUAGUAAUCGCGCAUCAGCCACGGCGCGGUGAAUACGUUCCCGGGCCUUGUACACACCGCCCGUCAAGCCAUGGAGGCCGGGGGUGCCUGAAGUGCGCUGCCGCAAGGAGCGCCCUAGGGUAAAACCGGUGACUGGGGCUAAGUCGUAACAAGGUAUC